CAGGUGUGGCCUGCGCUAAUCUCACUUCAGAGAAAACCAAAACAGCAACAAACCCUGUGAACAAUAUGAGGAACAUCAAACAAUGGGAUUGUACACAUUGACUUUAAAGCGCAACGUGAAGGCGUGGGGCUGGUAGAUCAGUUAGGAGAGAUGUAUAAUGUUAAUGUUGCUCUGCUCUGAGAAAGUUAAGUUGUCUUAGCUAGGUAGCUAACAUUAGCUGACCGUGUAGCAAGUCACGUUAGCCGUGUGCCUCCUCAGUAGCUGGCUCAACACCCAAGUUGCAGCUUGCGACCCGGGUCGUGAAGAAUGUCUUAGCCUCAUCCCCCGAGGAGAGGGAUCUCCUGCCUGUCUACACCAUGAUGGAACACUUGGCCGGGUAGCGCAGGGCAGGUCUGAGCUGUACUCCUUUCGCUGGUCGACAACUUCGGGUGGAUAACCCUCAAAGACCAAGAUAGAGUGACCACGGAACUUUAGCUUUCCUCUGUUGGACCGGGCUUCCCGGAUAAUCGCGUCCUUUCCCCAGAACCGGAGGAGCUUGAUGAUAACCAGUCUUGGUCGCUGGCCUGCUGGAGGUUUGGGGGCGAGGGACCUGUGGGCGCGCUCGUAUUCGGGUGGGGAAUCCAGGAUGUCGCUGAAGACUUCCACCAGCAUGUUGGAGAAGAAAGCAGUAGGUUGUGGUCCCUCAAUGGAUUCAGACUGGAGUUGGACUGCUGUUGCUGUGUGUGGCUUUUUAAUCAUUCGCCACAGAAACAAAGACGAUGUUAGAAUGUCUGCAAACAGUCCAAGGUCAGCAGAAAAAGAACACAAGGCGUACACAAAGCAUCUGAGAGAAGAAUUGUCCUGGCUACAACCACUAACAGGCCUUCGUGCGGCACAUGGAAGAUAAGACACAAUACGAUACAAGAGGGGCUUGUCAUCCUCACUCUUUUAAAAUACAAGUCUCAGUUUGGAGCCAGUUUGAUAUCAACCAUAAUUAUCUAGUGACUGGAUGCAGUGGACUCCAUUAGACUUUCUCACACUACAGAAUCGCCCGAGGGUCAGAAAGGAGGCAAGAGGCA